AUUGAACGCUGGCGGCAGGCCUAACACAUGCAAGUCGAGCGAGCGGCGGACAGGUGAGUAAUGUCUCGGAAACUGCCUGAUGGAGGGGGAGAACAGCUCUAGACAGUAGAUAAUACCCCCUACCAUAUGAUGUGUCCACAUGGGAUGUGCUCGUAGGUGGGGGAAUGGAUCACCUAGGCGACGAUCCCUAGCUGGUCUGAGAGGAUGACCAGCCACACUGGAACUGAGACACGGUCCAGACUCCUACGGGAGGCAGCAGUGGGGAAUAUUGCACAAGGGGCGCAAGCCUGAUGCAGCCAUGCCGCGUGUGUGAAGAAGGCCUUCGGGUUGUAAAGCACUUGCAGCGAGGAGGCGUUACCCGCAGAAGAAGCACCGGCUAACUCCGUGCCAGCAGCCGCGGUAAUUC
rnacentral:rRNA from 1 species